ACCUGAAGAGAAUUAGCAAGAGCAUUUAUAGGGAAGCCUUUCCCAAGAAUAUCUUCGUUGGGCAGGAGCAAAGCCAACAAAGUCUCCUUUAAUUGCUUCAACAAGGAAGGAUCAUUAGCGGCUAAUGGGCCUAAGUGAGUGCAUGCGACCCUCAAAGCACUGGAAUAAUCACCUGAACUAACCAGCUUCAAAAAUUCAACCUG
rnacentral:misc_RNA from 1 species